ACGAACGCUGGCGGCACGCUUAACACAUGCAAGUCGAACGAGAGAAGAGGAGCUUGCUUUUCUGAUCUAGUGGCGGACGGGUGAGUAACACGUGAGCAAUCUGCCUUUCAGAGGGGGAUACCGAUUGGAAACGAUCGUUAAUACCGCAUAACAUAAUUGAACCGCAUGAUUUGAUUAUCAAAGAUUUAUCGCUGAAAGAUGAGCUCGCGUCUGAUUAGCUAGUUGGUAAGGUAACGGCUUACCAAGGCGACGAUCAGUAGCCGGACUGAGAGGUUGAUCGGCCACAUUGGGACUGAGACACGGCCCAGACUCCUACGGGAGGCAGCAGUGGGGAAUAUUGCACAAUGGAGGAAACUCUGAUGCAGCGAUGCCGCGUGAGGGAAGAAGGUUUUUGGAUUGUAAACCUCUGUCUUCAGGGACGAAAAAUGACGGUACCUGAGGAGGAAGCUCCGGCUAACUACGUGCCAGCAGCCGCGGUAAUACGUAGGGAGCGAGCGUUGUCCGGAAUUACUGGGUGUAAAGGGAGCGUAGGCGGGAUCGCAAGUCAGAUGUGAAAACUAUGGGCUUAACCCAUAAACUGCAUUUGAAACUGUGGUUCUUGAGUGAAGUAGAGGUAAGCGGAAUUCCUAGUGUAGCGGUGAAAUGCGUAGAUAUUAGGAGGAACAUCAGUGGCGAAGGCGGCUUACUGGGCUUUAACUGACGCUGAGGCUCGAAAGCGUGGGGAGCAAACAGGAUUAGAUACCCUGGUAGUCCACGCCGUAAACGAUGAUUACUAGGUGUGGGGGGACUGACCCCUUCCGUGCCGCAGCAAACGCAAUAAGUAAUCCACCUGGGGAGUACGACCGCAAGGUUGAAACUCAAAGGAAUUGACGGGGGCCCGCACAAGCAGUGGAGUAUGUGGAUUAAUUCGAAGCAACGCGAAGAACCUUACCAGGUCUUGACAUCGUAUGCAUAGCUCAGAGAUGAGUGAAAUCUCUUCGGAGACAUAUAGACAGGUGGUGCAUGGUUGUCGUCAGCUCGUGUCGUGAGAUGUUGGGUUAAGUCCCGCAACGAGCGCAACCCUUACUGUUAGUUGCUACGCAAGAGCACUCUAGCAGGACUGCCGUUGACAAAACGGAGGAAGGUGGGGAUGACGUCAAAUCAUCAUGCCCCUUAUGACCUGGGCCUCACACGUACUACAAUGGCUGUCAACAGAGGGAAGCAAAGCCGCGAGGUGGAGCAAACCCCUAAAAGCAGUCUUAGUUCGGAUUGUAGGCUGCAACCCGCCUACAUGAAGUCGGAAUUGCUAGUAAUCGCAGAUCAGCAUGCUGCGGUGAAUACGUUCCCGGGCCUUGUACACACCGCCCGUCACGCCAUGGGAGUCGGUAACACCCGAAGCCUGUAGUCUAACCGCAAGGAGGACGCAGUCGAAGGUGGGAUUGAUGACUGGGGUG
rnacentral:rRNA from 1 species